GACGAACGCUGGCGGCGUGCUUAACACAUGCAAGUCGAACGGUGAUGCUCCAGCUUGCUGGAGUGGAUCAGUGGCGAACGGGUGAGUAACACGUGAGCAACCUGCCCCAGACUCUGGAAUAAGCGCUGGAAACGGCGUCUAAUACUGGAUACGAAACUGGCCCGCAUGGGCAUGGUUUGGAAAGUUUUUCGGUUUGGGAUGGGCUCGCGGCCUAUCAGCUUGUUGGUGAGGUAAUGGCUCACCAAGGCGACGACGGGUAGCCGGCCUGAGAGGGCGACCGGCCACACUGGGACGGAGACACGGCCCAGACUCCUACGGGAGGCAGCAGUGGGGAAUAUUGCACAAUGGGCGAAAGCCUGAUGCAGCGACGCCGCGUGAGGGAUGACGGCCUUCGGGUUGUAAACCUCUUUCAGCAGGGAAGAAGCGAAAGUGACGGGACCUGCAGAAGAAGCACCGGCGAACUACGG
rnacentral:rRNA from 1 species